rnacentral:rRNA from 1 species
GUGCCAGCCGCCGCGGUAAUACGGAGGGUGCGAGCGUUAUUCGGAAUUACUGGGCGUAAAGCGCACGUAGGCGGCCUAAUAAGUCGGAUGUGAAAGCCCCGGGCUCAACCUGGGAAGUGCAUUCGAAACUGUUGGGCUUGAGUACGGGAGAGGGUUGCGGAAUUCCCGGUGUAGAGGUGAAAUUCGUAGAUAUCGGGAGGAACACCAGUGGCGAAGGCGGCAGCCUGGACCGACACUGACGCUGAGGCGCGAAAGCGUGGGCAGCAAACAGGAUUAGAUACCCUGGUAGUCCACGCCGUAAACGAUGAGUGCUAGAUGCAGCGGGUAUUGACCCCUGCUGCGUCGUAGCUAACGCGUUAAGCACUCCGCCUGGGGAGUACGGCCGCAAGGCUAAAACUUAAAUGAAUUGGCGGGG